CCAUUAGAUGUCCUGGGCCGCACGCGCGUUACACUGAUGCAUUCAACGAGCUUAUAACCUUGGCCGAGAGGCCUGGGCAAUCUUGUUAACGUGCAUCGUGAUGGGGAUAGAUUAUUGAAAUUAUUAAUCUUGAACGAGGAAUUCCUAGUAAACGCAGAUCAUCAAUCUGCAUUGAUUACGUCCCUGCCCUUUGUACACACCGCCCGUCGCACCUACCGAUUGGAUGGUCCGGUGAAGCCUCGGGAUUGUGGUUCUUGCCGCUUUAUUGUGGCGUGACCGCGAGAACUUGUCUAAACCUUAUCAUCUAGAGGAAGGUGAAGUCGUAACA
rnacentral:rRNA from 1 species